rnacentral:rRNA from 1 species
UGUUAUACUAUCAUAAAUAUAAUAAUUCAAAGACCACCAACAAAAAUUUGACGGUAUCUUUUACAAAGGAAUUUGUUUCUUAAUCGACAACACACGUUACAUCUUACUUAUCUAUCUGUAUACCACCGUUACAAAUUAUUUUUAAACAAACCUCAUAAUAGACUAAAUCUAGAAAAUCAGGCCAAGGUGCAAUUUUAUGCAGAAAUGAAUUACAUUAAUUUCAUAUUUACUCAUAAUAACUGAAACUUUAUUAAAAAUAGAAUUUGUAAUUUUAUCAUCAUGAUAAUUUGAAAACUAUCAUUAAUAUGUACAUAUCGCCCGUCAUUCUUGUUUAUCUUA